GAAAAGCAUGGAUGGUUUGAAAAAACUUAAAACCAUCGAUAGUAUCGAUGGUUUUCCAGCUCUAGUUUUAUUCCAUUUCUGACGGUCUGACGAAGCAGUGAAAAGUUUUUUUUGUGGUUGGCCGUCAAAAAGUGGGAAAAUAAGAUUCACAUUAUCAUUGAGGCACUGGAUUCGAAAAAAGGCUAAGCGAGUGGCGGGGGAAAUUCAGUUGGUUUUAUUAUUUAUUAUUAGUUUACAAUGGUUAUUCUAAUACGUGUGUUCGCAUUCAACUCCAUUGAUCGAUUGCCUCUCUCUCUCCAGCCCGAUCGCUCGUCUCUCUGCUUAUGUUAGAUUAAUCGGGAGAGCGUGAGUUGCGCUCAUCUUCCUCUCGCACCGGUUCCAACAUCCCUCCUAUUAUUAUUUAUUAUGUGAAAGUCGAAUAUUAACAAUCGUAAACAAUGUUUUUUUAACGGCAAUUCUUGAUCAAUAAAAAUGUUUUUAAAAUUUA